UCUUCGAAUGAACAUGUUUCAGAGCAUAUUAGAAAGGUUUAUUCCACUCCCCAAGUUCGGGUAAUUUGGAGGUCAUGCUUUGCACUGAUGUUGAAAUGUUUUGUACAGUUCAGUACAAUACACCAUUACAUGAAACUUUUCUGAUGACGGGAAAUGUGGUGAAAGUAAUUGGCGAGCUGCUGGAAA